AAAAUAAUCCCUCUGUCCCAAAAUUCUUGUCUUAGAUUUGUCUAGAUACGGAUGUAUAUAUACAUCCGUAUCUAGACAAAUCUAAGACAAGAAUUUUGGGACAGAGGCAGUAAAUG
rfam:Triticum aestivum genome assembly, contig: Triticum_aestivum_CS42_TGACv1_scaffold_194515_3AL